UACGGAGGAUGCGAGCGUUAUCCGGAUUUAUUGGGUUUAAAGGGUGCGUAGGCGGCUUUUUAAGUCAGCGGUGAAAUAUUGCAGCUUAACUGUAACAGUGCCGUUGAUACUGGGGAGCUAGGAUUUGGUUGCUGUGGGUGGAAUGUGUGGUGUAGCGGUGAAAUGCUUAGAGAUCACACAGAAUAUCGAUUGCGAAGGCAGCUCACAAAGCCAAGAUUGACGCUGAGGCACGAAGGCGUGGGGAUCAAACAGGA
rnacentral:rRNA from 1 species